UACGAAGGGGGCAAGCGUUGUUCGGAAUUACUGGGCGUAAAGGGCGCGUAGGCGGUGUGUCAAGUCAGGCGUGAAAGCCCCGGGCUCAACCUGGGAACCGCGCUUGAGACUGGCACGCUCGAGUUCGGGAGAGGAUGGUGGAAUUCCCAGUGUAGAGGUGAAAUUCGUAGAUAUUGGGAAGAACACCAGUGGCGAAGGCGGCUCACUGGCUCGUAACUGACGCUCAGGCGCGACAGCGUGGGGAUCAAACAGG
rnacentral:rRNA from 1 species